AGGUGUAUCAUAGGACCAUCAUCACAUUAUCUCAGGUUUAUCAUAGGACCACCAUCACAUCAUUAUCUCAGGUGUAUCAGGACCAUCAUCACAUUAUCUCAGGUGUAUCAGGACCAUCAUCACAUUAUCUCAGGUGUAUCAUAGGACCAUCAUCACAUCAUUAUCUCAGGUGUAUCAUAGGACCAUCAUCACAUCAUUAUCUCAGGUGUAUCAUAGGACCAUCAUCACAUCAUUAUCUCAGGU